ensembl:lncRNA
GUUCUUAAUAUGUUGCUGGGCACACAACUUGGUCUCUAAGUGUGAGAGGCAUGGCAAGGAAGAGGGAUGUCCCAUUGAUCACCCGAACAGAGUAGCUAUUCUGGAGCCACUCAGCUGGUAAAGUCAUUUUCCACAAAGCUGCACUCCUUUGGACUGAACUGUAUCACACCCCCCAGGACCUCAUCAUCCUUCAAGAUGACAUCAGCCUUGGUACUCAUACUUCAACAGUACCCUGCCCCCUGAUUCUCAGGCUGGUGGGUAGAACAAAGCACUCUUCACAAAGUUUCCCAGCCAUCUCUUCAUUUCCCACCCAGCUUUACUCCUUUGGACUGGACACCAUCAUGUACCUUCCCAUCCCUCUCUCCACUGUCCACUUUUCCACUUCUUUGCAUAUGUCUGCCCCCAUUAGAUUGCAAAUUCCUUGAAAAAAAGGAUGGUCUUUUUUUUUUUGUAUUUGUAUCCCCAAUACUUAGCAGAGUGCCU